GAUCAUGGCUCAGGAUGAACGCUAGCUACAGGCUUAACACAUGCAAGUCGAGGGGCAGCAUGAUUGAAGCUUGCUUCAAUUGAUGGCGACCGGCGCACGGGUGAGUAACACGUAUCCAACCUUCCGUACACUCAGGGAUAGCCUUUCGAAAGAAAGAUUAAUACCUGAUGGUAUCUUAAGCACACAUGUAAUUAAGAUUAAAGAAUUAUUCGGUGUACGAUGGGGAGUGCGUU
rnacentral:rRNA from 1 species